rnacentral:rRNA from 1 species
UACGGAGGAUGCGAGCGUUAUCCGGAUUUAUUGGGUUUAAAGGGUGCGUAGGCGGAAUAUCAAGUCAGCGGUAAAAAUUCGGGGCUCAACCCCGUCGUGCCGUUGAAACUGAUGUUCUUGAGUGGGCGAGAAGUAUGCGGAAUGCGUGGUGUAGCGGUGAAAUGCAUAGAUAUCACGCAGAACCCCGAUUGCGAAGGCAGCAUACCGGCGCCCAACUGACGCUGAAGCACGAAAGCGUGGGUAUCGAACAGG